rnacentral:tRNA from 1 species
CAGAGCAUAGUUUUUUAAAAAUAUUAAUUUUGGAGAUUAAAGAAGGGGUUAGCCUUUGUUCUGA